GUAGUUGUGGCCGAGUGGUUAAGGCGAUGGUCUUGAAAUCUUUUGGGGUCUCCCCGUGCAGAUUCAAACCCUGCCAACUACG